AGCAGCCGCGGUAAUUCCAGCUCCAAUAGCGUAUAUUAAAGUUGUUGCAGUUAAAAAGCUCGUAGUUGAAUUUCGGGAUCAAAGGAUCGGUCAUGCCUUGGUAUGUACUGGUUUUAUUGGUUCUCACCUUCUAAAGAACCAUAAUGUCAUUCAUUUGAUGUUAUGGGGAAUUAGGACUGUUACCUUGAAAAAAUUAGAGUGUUUAAAGCAGGCUUACGCUUGAAUACAUUAGCAUGGAAUAAUGAAAUAGGACAUCAGAUUCUAUUUUGUUGGUUUCUAGGAUCGAUGUAAUGAUUAAUAGGGAUAGUUGGGGGCAUUAGUAUUCAAUUGUCAGAGGUGAAAUUCUUGGAUUUAUUGAAGACUAACUACUGCGAAAGCAUUUGCCAAGGAUGUUUUCAUUAAUCAAGAACGAAAGUUAGGGGAUCGAAGACGAUCAGAUACCGUCGUAGU
rnacentral:rRNA from 1 species